UACGAAGGGGGCUAGCGUUGCUCGGAAUCACUGGGCGUAAAGGGUGCGUAGGCGGGUCUUUAAGUCAGGGGUGAAAUCCUGGAGCUCAACUCCAGAACUGCCUUUGAUACUGAAGAUCUUGAGUUCGGGAGAGGUGAGUGGAACUGCGAGUGUAGAGGUGAAAUUCGUAGAUAUUCGCAAGAACACCAGUGGCGAAGGCGGCUCACUGGCCCGUUACUGACGCUGAGGCACGAAAG
rnacentral:rRNA from 1 species